rnacentral:rRNA from 1 species
UACGGAGGGUGCGAGCGUUGUCCGGAAUCAUUGGGCGUAAAGGGCGCGUAGGUGGCCCGGUCAGUUCGUGGUGAAAGCGCGGGGCUCAACCCUGCGUCGGCCAUGAAUACUGCCGCGGCUGGAGCACUGUAGAGGCAGGCGGAAUUCCGGGUGUAGCGGUGGAAUGCGCGGAUAUCAGGAGGAACACCGGUGGCGAAGGCGGGUCUCUGGGCAGUAACUGACGCUGAGGAGCGAAAGCGUGGGGAGCGAACAGG